rnacentral:pre_miRNA from 1 species
AGGGCAAUAGCUGGGUCAAAUGGUGAUUCCAUUCCCAGCUUUCCCAGGAAUCUCCAUACUGCUUUCCAAAUUGGCUGCACCAAUUUGCAGUACCACCAGCAAU